CCGGAUAAGCUCAUCAGUGCUGACAGAGUGACAGAAACUUCUUUUAAAUUGAAAGCUUAACUGGCAAGCUAGCGAAGCAAUCUCUUGUGGGAGUCCAGGCCACUCUCCGUCUCAGUUCCUUAAACACGUAGACGGGGAGGAAAGGAAGCAAUCAUUAUUCAUCAAUGGGCGGAGAUAGAAUUUUCUCCAACAAUUUGUCAUCUGGUACCGGUAUUUUUAUCAUCUACAUACAGCUUUUCAGAGGUGAAAGUAAAAAUUCUAAUUCUGGUAGUAUUUGAAUUGCAGAAGACGUAUCAUUCUUGGAUCGUGAGUCUGAGUUCCCAGAUCCAUCACUUGAUUUACCUACUUUUCUAAGGUUGGUAAUUUUAGUUUCUUGAUCGCUUGAAGAGAAAAAAAAAUUUCGCUUCUUUUUCCUUCUAACGGGGGUGCUGAUGACUAGUUUGAUUUGGGUUCAGUAAAUUUUUAGCAGAGUAAAAGUAACUUAAAUGAGCGUUAUAACAGG
rnacentral:lncRNA from 1 species